rnacentral:rRNA from 1 species
AAGGGUCCUAAAGGAACGUUUAAGACUAAGACGUUGAUAGGUUGGGUGUGUAAGCGUAGCGAUACGUUGAGCUAACCAAUACUAAUGAACCGUGAGGCUUAACCUG